UCUGUCUCAUUCUGAAGAGAAAAAGGAUGUUAAAUGUGGUUUACCGUUUCUUCUUUCUCCUCAACCUCUUAACCAGUCUGUCAGACUGUGUCCAGAUUGAGCAGCCAUCAAACCUGAUAGUAAAUCUCACAGAUAAUGUAAAAAUCUCCUGUAAACAUGAUGGCAGCAAUUUCGAUAUUAUGCUUUGGUAUCAGCAGAGUAGACAGAGCACAGCUUUGGCUUUGAUCAGUUAUAACUAUGGCAAAGGCACACCGAACUAUGAGACUGGAUACACAACACGGUUCACACACAACAGGAUUGACACUGUAACCGGAGAUCUGACCAUCUCUAAUCUCAGCCUGUCAGAUUCUGCUGUGUAUUACUGUGCUGCCAGACUACACAGUGCUUCUGUUUCAUCACCUGCCUGACUUAAAACACAAAAAGCAUACAGGAAGUUCACGCCGCAGCACUUCAGAUUAG